rnacentral:rRNA from 1 species
GACGAACGCUGGCGGCGUGCUUAACACAUGCCAGUCGAACGGAAAGGCCUUUUCGGAGGUACUCGAGUGGCGCACGGGUGUGUAACACGUGGGGGAUCUGCCCUGCACUCUGGGAUAAGCCUCGGAAACUGGGUCUAAUACCGGCUAGGACCGCGCUUUAGUGUGUGUGGUGGCAAGUUUUUUCGGUGUAGGAUGAGCCCGUGGCCUAUCGGCUUGUUGGUGGGGUAAUGGGGUACCAAGGCGGCGACGUGUAGCCGGACUGUGAGGUUGGGCGGCCACAUUGGGACUGAGGGACGGCCGAGAUGCCUAAGGGAGGCAGCAGGGGGGAAUAUUGCACAAUGGGCGCAAGCCUGAUGCAGCGACGCCGCGUGGGGGAUGACGGCCUUCGGGGUGUAAAAUCCUUUCGACAGGGACGAAGCGUUUUGUGACGUUACCUGGAGAAGAAGCACCGGCUAACUACGUG